CGCAUGAGUGGCGGACGGGUGAGUAACGCGUGGGCAACCUGCCCUGUACAGGGGGACAACACUUAGAAAUAGGUGCUAAUACCGCAUAACGGGGGAGCCGCAUGGCACCCCCCUGAAAAACUCCGGUGGUACAGGAUGGGCCCGCGUCUGAUUAGCUGGUUGGCAGGGUAACGGCCUACCAAGGCGACGAUCAGUAGCCGGCCUGAGAGGGCGGACGGCCACACUGGGACUGAGACACGGCCCAGACUCCUACGGGAGGCAGCAG
rnacentral:rRNA from 1 species